AGUGAACGCUGGCGGUAGGCCUAACACAUGCAAGUCGAACGGCAGCACAGUAAGAGCUUGCUCUUACGGGUGGCGAGUGGCGGACGGGUGAGGAAUACAUCGGAAUCUACUUUUUCGUGGGGGAUAACGUAGGGAAACUUACGCUAAUACCGCAUACGACCUACGGGUGAAAGCAGGGGAUCUUCGGACCUUGCGCGAUUGAAUGGGCCGAUGUCGGAUUAGCUAGUUGGCGGGGUAAAGGCCCACCAAGGCGACGAUCCGUAGCUGGUCUGAGAGGAUGAUCAGCCACACUGGAACUGAGACACGGUCCAGACUCCUACGGGAGGCAGCAGUGGGGAAUAUUGGACAAUGGGCGCAAGCCUGAUCCAGCCAUACCGCGUGGGUGAAGAAGGCCUUCGGGUUGUAAAGCCCUUUUGUUGGGAAAGAAAAGCAGCAGGCUAAUACCCCGCUGUUCUGACGGUACCCAAAGAAUAAGCACCGGCUAACUUCGUG
rnacentral:rRNA from 1 species